CCUACGGAGGCAGCAGUGGGGAAUAUUGGACAAUGGGCGAAAGCCUGAUCCAGCCAUGCCGCGUGAGUGAAGAAGGCCUUAGGGUUGUAAAGCUCUUUCAGCGGGGAAGCGGUACCCGCAGAAGAAGUCCCGGCUAACUUCGUGCCAGCAGCCGCGGUAAUACGAAGGGGACUAGCGUUGUUCGGAUUUACUGGGCGUAAAGCGCGCGUAGGCGGAUCGCUAAGUCAGAGGUGAAAUCCCAAGGCUCAACCUUGGAACUGCCUUUGAUACUGACGAUCUGGAGAUCGGGAGAGGUGAGUGGAAUUCCGAGUGUAGAGGUGAAAUUCGUAGAUAUUCGGAGGAACACCAGAAGCGAAGGCGGCUCACUGGCCCGAACUGACGCUGAGGCGCGAAAGCGUGGGGAGCAAACAGGAUUAGAUACCCUUGUAGUC
rnacentral:rRNA from 1 species